rnacentral:snRNA from 1 species
GGAUGUAAGGGUGUUCUGUCUGGGACAUCUGUCACCCCACUGAUAAGCAGCAUUGAUUUGGUUGAUCUGGCUGGCUUAGGCAGGUGUCCCCUUGCUCCCUCACCACUCCAUGUGCAUCCCUCCCAAAGCUGCACACUCAAAGAGGAUGACCUUCUCCAGUGACAUACCAUUCAUUGGUCAAGGGUAUAUGGUAGCUGCACUCCCCUGCUAGAACCUCCAAACAAGCUCAAGGUCCCUGAGGAAGAGAAGGCCAAAGGGAGACCUUACCAAUGUUCAUAAAUAUCUCAAUGGCAGGUGACAAGAGGAUGGUGCCAGACUCUUU